GACCCAGACUCCUACGGGAGGCAGCAGUGGGGGAUAUUGCACAAUGGGGGGAACCCUGAUGCAGCGACGCCGCGUGAAGGAAGAAGUAUCUCGGUAUGUAAACUUCUAUCAGCAGGGAAGAAAAUGACGGUACCUGACUAAGAAGCCCCGGCUAACUACGUGCCAGCAGCCGCGGUAAUACGUAGGGGGCAAGCGUUAUCCGGAUUUACUGGGUGUAAAGGGAGCGUAGGCGGCAGUGCAAGUCAGAUGUGAAAUUCCGGGGCUCAACCCCGGACCUGCAUUUGAAACUGUUGGUCUUGAGUAUCGGAGAGGCAGGCGGAAUUCCUAGUGUAGCGGUGAAAUGCGUAGAUAUUAGGAGGAACACCAGUGGCGAAGGCGGCCUGCUGGACGACAACUGACGGUGAGGCGCGAAAGCGUGGGGAGCAAACAGGAUUAGAUACCCGAGUA
rnacentral:rRNA from 1 species